UGAGGAAUAUUGGUCAAUGGGCGCAAGCCUGAACCAGCCAUUCCGCGUGCAGGAAGACGGUCCUAUGGAUUGUAAACUGCUUUUGUACGGAACGAAACGGUCUGCCCUAAUACGGCGGGCUAAUGACGGUACCGUAAGAAUAAGGAUCGGCUAACUCCGUGCCAGCAGCCGCGGUAAUACGGAGGAUCCAAGCGUUAUCCGGAUUUAUUGGGUUUAAAGGGUGCGUAGGCGGCCUGUUAAGUCAGGGGUGAAAGACGGUGGCUCAACCAUCGCAGUGCCCUUGAUACUGAUGGGCUUGAAUGGACUAGAGGUAGGCGGAAUGUGACAAGUAGCGGUGAAAUGCAUAGAUAUGUCACAGAACACCGAUUGGGAAGGCAGCUUACUAUGGUUGUAUUGACGCUGAGGCACGAAAGCGUGGGGAUCGAACA
rnacentral:rRNA from 1 species